AUUGAACGCUGGCGGCAUGCCUUACACAUGCAAGUCGAACGGUAACAGGUCUUCGGAUGCUGACGAGUGGCGAACGGGUGAGUAAUACAUCGGAACGUGCCUAGUAGUGGGGGAUAACUACUCGAAAGAGUGGCUAAUACCGCAUGAGAUCUACGGAUGAAAGCAGGGGAUCGCAAGACCUUGUGCUACUAGAGCGGCCGAUGGCAGAUUAGGUAGUUGGUGGGAUAAAAGCUUACCAAGCCGACGAUCUGUAGCUGGUCUGAGAGGACGAUCAGCCACACUGGGACUGGGACACGGCCCAGACUCCUACGGGAGGCAGCAGUGGGGAAUUUUGAACAAUGGGCGCAAGCCUGAUCCAGCAAUGCCGCGUGCAGGAUGAAGGCCUUCGGGUUGUAAACUGCUUUUGUACGGAACGAAAAGCCCUGGGUUAAUACCCUGGGGUCAUGACGGUACCGUAAGAAUAAGCACCGGCUAACUACGUGCCAGCAGCCGCCGUAAAAC
rnacentral:rRNA from 1 species